rnacentral:rRNA from 1 species
CGAGCGAACGGACGAGAAGCUUGCUUCUCUGAUGUUAGCGGCGGACGGGUGAGUAACACGUGGAUAACCUACCUAUAAGACUGGGAUAACUUCGGGAAACCGGAGCUAAUACCGGAUAAUAUUUUGAACCGCAUGGUUCAAAAGUGAAAGACGGUCUUGCUGUCACUUAUAGAUGGAUCCGCGCUGCAUUAGCUAGUUGGUAAGGUAACGGCUUACCAAGGCAACGAUGCAUAGCCGACCUGAGAGGGUGAUCGGCCACACUGGAACUGAGACACGGUCCAGACUCCUACGGGAGGCAGCAGUAGGGAAUCUUCCGCAAUGGGCGAAAGCCUGACGGAGCAACGCCGCGUGAGUGAUGAAGGUCUUCGGAUCGUAAAACUCUGUUAUUAGGGAAGAACAUAUGUGUAAGUAACUGUGCACAUCUUGACGGUACCUAAUCAGAAAGCCACGGCUAACUACGUGCCAGCAGCCGCGGUAAUACGUAGGUGGCAAGCGUUAUCCGGAAUUAUUGGGCGUAAAGCGCGCGUAGGCGGUUUUUUAAGUCUGAUGUGAAAGCCCACGGCUCAACCGUGGAGGGUCAUUGGAAACUGGAAAACUUGAGUGCAGAAGAGGAAAGUGGAAUUCCAUGUGUAGCGGUGAAAUGCGCAGAGAUAUGGAGGAACACCAGUGGCGAAGGC